rnacentral:lncRNA from 1 species
AACGAUUUAGGCCUGUGGUGGAUAAUAGUGUGCGUGCAUUAAUUUUCUAUACCUCCUUAAUCAAUAUUUUCAAAUACUGACGGCAAGUGUUGUAAUGUAGCAAUGUCUUUUUUGGAGGCCAACGUGCUAUUUACAUGCGCGAUCGAAAAUGCAGGGGAAGGAAACUUGUCAAUUAUGUUUAUUUUUAAGCCAAAAUAAAAUGAGCCGCCGUAAAAUUAGGCUUUGUGGUACGGGCUGAGUGACUACUAAUCAAUGCAUGGCUUUGUCUCAAAAUAACUCGGCAGCAGUGGCGGAUCCAGCCGUUUUAAAAAGGGGGU